CCUUCUCCUGCUUAUUUAACUCCGAUGGAGCCAGGGUGGAGGCAACUACAUCAUAACAAAGAAAAAGAUUUGUCACCAAGGAAUGGCAGCUUGAUCCUUUCCCCAGCCAUCUAAAGACAUGCCAGCUCAAUACAGUGCUAAGGUCUUCUUCUAACUCCAGGGCAUCAGGUUCAGGUGCCACAGGCCCUCCAGUCUGAUCCCCCUCACUGUUCUUGUUCCCCAGGAAGCCAGAUUCCUGCUGUGCCACUGACCCGUCACCAGCUGCCCUUAUGGAUUCUAAUGACUCU